rnacentral:rRNA from 1 species
GUGAAAGUUGGCUUCGGCCGAUGAGUAAAGUGGCGCACGGGUGAGUAACGCGUGGAUAAUCUGCCCUUCAGUUGGGAAUAACUCAUCAAAAGGUGAGCUAAUACCGAAUAAUACUGCUUGACCAUGGUCAGGUAGUCAAAGAUAGCCUCUGCUUGCAAGCUUUCGCUGAAAGAUGAGUCCGCGUACCAUUAGCUAGUUGGUGGGGUAAUGGCCUACCAAGGCGACGAUGGUUAGCUGGUCUGAGAGGAUGAUCAGCCACACUGGAACUGAGACACGGUCCAGACUCCUACGGGAGGCAGCAGUGAGGAAUCUUGCGCAAUGGGGGCAACCCUGACGCAGCAACGCCGCGUGAGUGAGGAAGGUCUUCGGAUCGUAAAGCUCUGUCGGGUGGAAAGAAAUGUAUGGGGUUAAUAGCCUUCAUACUUGACGGUACCACCAAAGGAAGCACCGGCUAACUCCGUGCCAGCAGCCGCGGUAAUACGGGGGGUGCAAGCGUUGUUCGGAAUUAUUGGGCGUAAAGAGCGUGUAGGCGGCUUGUCAAGUCAGAUGUGAAAGCCCUGGGCUUAACCCAGGAAGUGCGUUUGAAACUGGCAGGCUUGAGUAGGGGAGAGGGAAGUGGAAUUCCUGGUGUAGAGGUGAAAUUCGUAGAUAUCAGGAGGAACACCGGUGGCGAAGGCGACUUCCUGGCCCUAUACUGACGCUGAGACGCGAGAGCGUGGGUAGC